GCUUCAUGCCCGUUCUCUCACUAGACUUAAGCACCUUGAGAGUAGGAACUGGGCCAGUUUUGACUCAGCACUCUCUUCCCAAGAUCUAGCCCCCUGCCUGGGAUAGUAAGCACCCACUAAAUAUUUGCCAAAUAAAUGAAGGAAAGACAUUUUUAUUCAUUUCAUCCUAACUGUAGAUUUUCCCAGUUCUUAAACUUGUUUUCUGAAACGUGGGUUUGGAUAAGAAGCAUUCAGGAACAGAUUAUUGAAAUUGGGAAAGAAAGUGAAAGAUGCUCUUCCAAUGGCCUUGCUACAAGUAAUUAGUAUUCAACCACUUCCCCCGUCUGGAACCUAGUUUCAAGUGCCAAGAGAAAAUGUGUCUAGCAUUUAAAUGGAUUCUUCCAGAACACCAGUGGCCAUGCAAUUGCUGAAGUAGCCAAGCUCCUGUGCAUUGUAAAUGUCAGCCUUGUUCCAACACCUCUGCUAAGCCUAUGUCCUUAUGGGAAUGGUGAGGAGGCCUGGCCAUCUUGAGGCAACAGGCUGCCCCACCUCCAUCCCUGCUGUGCCUACUGAGUCCAAAAGCUGAAGAACUUGGAGUCCAGUGUUUGAAGGCAGGAAGCAUCCAGCAUGGGAGAAAGAUGGAGGCUGGAAGACUCAGCCCUGAAUGAGAGGAAAGAGCAGAGGGUGGGCAAGUGAGAAAUAAAGCAAGAUGGAAGCACUGGAGAGAGGAGCUGUAGCCAUAUCAGACCAACCUUGUUCAGUUUUUAGUGAACAAAGUUACGAGUUGUUUUUCAGUUGCUGUGGACCCCCAGAUUGAAGUUCAAGUAACGUGAGCAUGCCCAGGUGAACCAAUCGUGCAACCACGGGUGGAACCUAAGUGCUCAGACUGAGCAGUGGGGACUGAAUUAAGGAGCGAACACUGCAGGCAGGAUCCAGGAUCCAAUCAGAUUGGACCCUGGUGCCACCCCAUGGCAGGAUUCAGUCAGAUCAUGCCUCCCAGUAUCAUCUCAUCGCAAGAUCCAAUCACAUCAUGCCUCAUUACCCUAUGCUUAUAAAACCCAUUGCAGCCCCCAGCUCACGGAGACAGAGCAGAGAGCUUCCUCCUCUCUCCUUGUGAGUUGACUCACAAUACAUCUUUCUCACUGCGAAAAUCCAGUGCUUCAGCGUUAUAUUUGUUAAGGUGGAUUUUAUGACCCAGAAUAUGAUCUGUCUUGAUGAAUGUUCCAUGUGAGCUUGAGAAGAUUGUGUAUUUUGCUGUUGUUGAAAGGAUUAUUAAUAAAUGUCAAUUAGAUUCUGUUGAUUGAUGGUGCUGUUCAGUUCCACUGUGUUCUUACUGAUUUUCUGCCUGCUAGACCUAUUUUUUAUACCGGGGUGUUGAAGUCUUCAACUAUAAUCGGGAAUUCAUCUAUUUUUCCUUGCAG
rnacentral:lncRNA from 1 species